rnacentral:rRNA from 1 species
UACGAAGGGGGCUAGCGUUGUUCGGAAUCACUGGGCGUAAAGCGCACGUAGGCGGAUCUUUAAGUCAGGGGUGAAAUCCCAGAGCUCAACUCUGGAACUGCCUUUGAUACUGGGGAUCUCGAGUUCGGGAGAGGUGAGUGGAACUGCGAGUGUAGAGGUGAAAUUCGUAGAUAUUCGCAAGAACACCAGUGGCGAAGGCGGCUCACUGGCCCGGUACUGACGCUGAGGUGCGAAAGCGUGGGGAGCAAACAGG